GACGAACGCUGGCGGCGUGCUUAACACAUGCAAGUCGAACGGAAAGGCCCUGCUUUUGUGGGGUGCUCGAGUGGCGAACGGGUGAGUAACACGUGAGUAACCUGCCCUUGACUUUGGGAUAACUUCAGGAAACUGGGGCUAAUACCGGAUAGGAUCUCCUGCUGCAUGGUGGGGGUUGGAAAGUUUCGGCGGUUGGGGAUGGACUCGCGGCUUAUCAGCUUGUUGGUGGGGUAGUGGCUUACCAAGGCUUUGACGGGUAGCCGGCCUGAGAGGGUGACCGGCCACAUUGGGACUGAGAUACGGCCCAGACUCCUACGGGAGGCAAGAGUGGGGAAGAUUGCACAAUGGGCGGAAGCCUGAUGCAGCAACGCCGCGUGCGGGAUGACGGCCUCGGGUUGUAAACCGCUUUCGCCUGUGACGAAGCGUGAGUGACGGUAAUGGGUAAAGAAGCACCGGCUAACUACGUG
rnacentral:rRNA from 1 species